rnacentral:rRNA from 1 species
UACGUAGGGACCAAGCGUUGUUCGGAUUUACUGGGCGUAAAGGGCGCGUAGGCGGCAAUUCAAGUCAGCUGUGAAAUCUCCGGGCUUAACUCGGAACGGUCAGCUGAUACUGCUUUGCUAGAGUGCAGAAGGGGCAAUCGGAAUUCUUGGUGUAGCGGUGAAAUGCGUAGAUAUCAAGAGGAACACCUGAGGUGAAGACGGGUUGCUGGGCUGACACUGACGCUGAGUGCGCGAAGGCCAGGGGAGCAAACAGG